GGUUGCUAGGUGUGGCUUCCUGAUGGGUCUAUAAAAGUAGGAACCACAACUUACAUUUUCCACCGACUCACUUCCCAGCUUGGAAAAUAUUGCUUCUGAAUUUUGGAAAGAGGAAAGAAAGUUGAAUCAAGAUGGCCUUUGUAUCAGAAUUCCUGAAGCAAGCCAGGUUUAUGGAGGAUGAGGAACCACAAUACAUU